rnacentral:rRNA from 1 species
CACUCCUACGGGAGGCAGCAGUGGGGAAUAUUGGACAAUGGGCGCAAGCCUGAUCCAGCCAUGCCGCGUGAGUGAUGAAGGCCCUAGGGUUAUAAAGCUCUUUCACCGGUGAAGAUAAUGACGGUAACCGGAGAAGAAGCCCCGGCUAACUUCGUGCCAGCAGCCGCGGUAAUACGAAGGGGGCUAGCGUUGUUCGGAUUUACUGGGCGUAAAGCGCACGUAGGCGGACUAUUAAGUCAGGGGUGAAAUCCCGGGGCUCAACCCCGGAACUGCCUUUGAUGCUGGUAGUCUUGAGUUCGAGAGAGGUGAGUGGAAUUCCGAGUGUAGAGGUGAAAUUCGUAGAUAUUCGGAGGAACACCAGUGGCGAAGGCGGCUCACUGGCUCGAUACUGACGCUGAGGUGCGAAAGCGUGGGGAGCAAACAGGAUUAGAUACCCGAGUAGUCCCAU